rfam:Medicago truncatula strain A17 chromosome 5, whole genome shotgun sequence.
GAGCUGUGUGUUGAUCACAUAGUAAACUAUUCUUUUGCCUUUUACUAAAGAAUACCUUGUGAGUGUUACAAUUAGCGGUAGGGCUCUGCAAUUUUAGUUCAAUAUUUUCCUAUUCCUAUUU